UAACUUGUUGAUUCGUAAUGCCUG
rnacentral:siRNA from 1 species